GCUCAGUUGGUUAAGAGUCUAACUCUUGAUUUCAGCUCAGGUCAUGAUCUCAGGGUUCAUGGGUUCAAGCCCCACAUUGGGUU
rnacentral:tRNA from 1 species